rnacentral:rRNA from 1 species
AAAGCGUGCGCAGGCGGUUUUGUAAGUUUGUCGUGAAAUCCCCGGGCUCAACCUGGGAAUGGCGAUGAAGACUGCAAGGCUAGAGUUUGGCAGAGGGGGGUAGAAUUCCACGUGUAGCAGUGAAAUGCGUAGAUAUGUGGAGGAACACCGAUGGCGAAGGCAGCCCCCUGGGUCAAAACUGACGCUCAUGCACGAAAGCGUGGGGAGCAAACAGGAUUAGAUACCCUAGU